rnacentral:rRNA from 1 species
CCUACGGGAGGCAGCAGUGAGGAAUAUUGGUCAAUGGCCGAGAGGCUGAACCAGCCAAGUCGCGUGAGGGAAGACGGCCCUACGGGUUGUAAACCUCUUUUGUCGGGGAGCAAAGAGAGUCACGUGUGACUCAUUGAGAGUACCCGAAGAAAAAGAAUCGGCUAACUCCGUGCCAGCACACGCGGUAAUAAGGAGGAUGGGAGCGUUAUCCGGAUUUAUUGGGGGUAAAGGGUGCGCAGGCGGAGGUGCAAGUCAGCGGUCAAACUGCGGGGCUCAACCCCGUACUGCCGUUGAAACUGGAUGCCUUGAGUGCGCGAGAGGUAUGCGGAAUGCGUGGUGUAGCGGUGAAAUGCAUAGAUAUCACGCAGAACUCCGGUUGCGAAGGCAGCAGACCGGCGCGCAACUGACGCUCAUGCACGAAAGCGUGGGUAUCGAACAGGAUUAGAUACCCCGGUAGUC